GGUUAAGCGACUAAGCGUACACGGUGGAUGCCCUGGCAGUCAGAGGCGAUGAAGGGCGUGCUAAUCUGCGAUAAGCGCCGGUAAGGUGAUAUGAACCGUUAUAACCGGCGAUACCCGAAUGGGGAAACCCAGUGUGACUCGUCACACUAUCAUUAACUGAAUCCAUAGGUUAAUGAGGCGAACCGGGGGAACUGAAACAUCUAAGUACCCCGAGGAAAAGAAAUCAACCGAGAUUCCCCCAGUAGCGGCGAGCGAACGGGGAGGAGCCCAGAGCCUGAAUCAGCAUGUGUGUUAGUGGAAGCGUCUGGAAAGGCGCGCGAUACAGGGUGACAGCCCCGUACACAAAAGCGCAUGUGCUGUGAGCUCGAUGAGUAGGGCGGGACACGUGGUAUCCUGUCUGAAUAUGGGGGGACCAUCCUCCAAGGCUAAAUACUCCUGACUGACCGAUAGUGAACCAGUACCGUGAGGGAAAGGCGAAAAGAACCCCGGCGAGGGGAGUGAAAAAGAACCUGAAACCGUGUACGUACAAGCAGUGGGAGCACCCUUCGGGGUGUGACUGCGUACCUUUUGUAUAAUGGGUCAGCGACUUAUAUUCUGUAGCAAGGUUAACCGUAUAGGGGAGCCGUAGGGAAACCGAGUCUUAACCGGGCGUUAAGUUGCAGGGUAUAGACCCGAAACCCGGUGAUCUAGCCAUGGGCAGGUUGAAGGUUGGGUAACACUAACUGGAGGACCGAACCGACUAAUGUUGAAAAAUUAGCGGAUGACCUGUGGCUGGGGGUGAAAGGCCAAUCAAACCGGGAGAUAGCUGGUUCUCCCCGAAAGCUAUUUAGGUAGCGCCUCGUGAAUUCAUCUCCGGGGGUAGAGCACUGUUUCGGCUAGGGGGCCAUCCCGGCUUACCAACCCGAUGCAAACUGCGAAUACCGGAGAAUGUUAUCACGGGAGACACACGGCGGGUGCUAACGUCCGUCGUGAAGAGGGAAACAACCCAGACCGCCAGCUAAGGUCCCAAAGUCAUGGUUAAGUGGGAAACGAUGUGGGAAGGCCCAGACAGCCAGGAUGUUGGCUUAGAAGCAGCCAUCAUUUAAAGAAAGCGUAAUAGCUCACUGGUCGAGUCGGCCUGCGCGGAAGAUGUAACGGGGCUAAACCAUGCACCGAAGCUGCGGCAGCGAACGUAUCACUUAAAGCGAUUCAGCGGGUUACGAUUGACGGAGCGAAGCGACGUCAAAGCGUAUACAAAGUCGAGUCGGUUUAAGGAUACGUUCGUUGGGUAGGGGAGCGUUCUGUAAGCCUGUGAAGGUGUGUCGUGAGGCAUGCUGGAGGUAUCAGAAGUGCGAAUGCUGACAUAAGUAACGAUAAAGCGGGUGAAAAGCCCGCUCGCCGGAAGACCAAGGGUUCCUGUCCAACGUUAAUCGGGGCAGGGUGAGUCGACCCCUAAGGCGAGGCCGAAAGGCGUAGUCGAUGGGAAACAGGUUAAUAUUCCUGUACUUGGUGUUACUGCGAAGGGGGGACGGAGAAGGCUAUGUUGGCCGGGCGACGGUUGUCCCGGUUUAAGCGUGUAGGUGUGUGUUCCAGGUAAAUCCGGUUCACUUUAACACUGAGGCGUGAUGACGAGGCACUACGGUGCUGAAGCAACAAAUGCCCUGCUUCCAGGAAAAGCCUCUAAGCAUCAGGUAACAUCAAAUCGUACCCCAAACCGACACAGGUGGUCAGGUAGAGAAUACCAAGGCGCUUGAGAGAACUCGGGUGAAGGAACUAGGCAAAAUGGUGCCGUAACUUCGGGAGAAGGCACGCUGACACGUAGGUGAAGUGAUUUACUCAUGGAGCUGAAGUCAGUCGAAGAUACCAGCUGGCUGCAACUGUUUAUUAAAAACACAGCACUGUGCAAACACGAAAGUGGACGUAUACGGUGUGACGCCUGCCCGGUGCCGGAAGGUUAAUUGAUGGGGUCAGCGCAAGCGAAGCUCCUGAUCGAAGCCCCGGUAAACGGCGGCCGUAACUAUAACGGUCCUAAGGUAGCGAAAUUCCUUGUCGGGUAAGUUCCGACCUGCACGAAUGGCGUAAUGAUGGCCAGGCUGUCUCCACCCGAGACUCAGUGAAAUUGAACUCGCUGUGAAGAUGCAGUGUACCCGCGGCAAGACGGAAAGACCCCGUGAACCUUUACUAUAGCUUGACACUGAACAUUGAGCCUUGAUGUGUAGGAUAGGUGGGAGGCUUUGAAGUGUGGACGCCAGUCUGCAUGGAGCCGACCUUGAAAUACCACCCUUUAAUGUUUGAUGUUCUAACGUGGACCCGUAAUCCGGGUUGCGGACAGUGUCUGGUGGGUAGUUUGACUGGGGCGGUCUCCUCCUAAAGAGUAACGGAGGAGCACGAAGGUUGGCUAAUCCUGGUCGGACAUCAGGAGGUUAGUGCAAUGGCAUAAGCCAGCUUGACUGCGAGCGUGACGGCGCGAGCAGGUGCGAAAGCAGGUCAUAGUGAUCCGGUGGUUCUGAAUGGAAGGGCCAUCGCUCAACGGAUAAAAGGUACUCCGGGGAUAACAGGCUGAUACCGCCCAAGAGUUCAUAUCGACGGCGGUGUUUGGCACCUCGAUGUCGGCUCAUCACAUCCUGGGGCUGAAGUAGGUCCCAAGGGUAUGGCUGUUCGCCAUUUAAAGUGGUACGCGAGCUGGGUUUAGAACGUCGUGAGACAGUUCGGUCCCUAUCUGCCGUGGGCGCUGGAGAACUGAGGGGGGCUGCUCCUAGUACGAGAGGACCGGAGUGGACGCAUCACUGGUGUUCGGGUUGUCAUGCCAAUGGCACUGCCCGGUAGCUAAAUGCGGAAGAGAUAAGUGCUGAAAGCAUCUAAGCACGAAACUUGCCCCGAGAUGAGUUCUCCCUGAGACUUUAGGUCUCCUGAAGGAACGUUGAAGACGACGACGUUGAUAGGCCGGGUGUGUAAGCGCAGCGAUGCGUUGAGCUAACCGGUACUAAUGAACCGUGAGGCUUAACCUU
rnacentral:rRNA from 2 species